AAGAUGCUGCUGAGGAAGGAGAUGGUGGUUGCUGUGCUGGGAAGAAUGCUAGGUGGUAAGCUCUGAAAGGGGACAUACAGAAUGAAGUCAGAGCUGAUGUUAGGCUAAUGGUUAACAGCAUAAAAGAGAAGGGAGUUGGCUGGAACGUGGUACUUCUUGGGAAGUUCGUGUGUGGCAAUGAUAAGGUUGAAACGACUCUAAAAACAGAGCAAAACCACCCGUCUUCCUCACACCCGGCAAAGAGCAUGCUGAAAUGGGCAACCUCAGUAUGCAGUCGGUCCCAAAAUAGCUGUGCCGGUCCCAGAAUAUUGGAGAGACGAGAUGGGAAACUUCCCAGUAUCCUCUGGUCCUGAGUCCACGACACUGCCCCUAGCUCAGGAGCGCUCGAUGAGGUGCCUGCCAGAGAC